GAUGAACGCUGGCGGCGUGCUUAACACAUGCAAGUCGAACGAUGAAGCACAGCUUGCUGGGUGGUUUAGUGGCGAACGGGUGAGUAACACGUGAGUAACCUGCCCUUAACUCUGGGAUAAGCCUGGACAACUAGGUCUAAUACCGGAUAGGAGCGCCUACCGCCUGGUGGGUGCUGGAAAGCUUUAUUGGUUUUGGAUGGACUCGGGGCCUAUCAGCUUGUUGGUGGGGUAAUGGCUCACGAAGGCGAAGACGGCUAGCCGGCCUUGGAGGGUGACCGGCCACACUGGGACUAAGACACGGCCCAGACUCCUACGGGAGGCAGCAGUGGGGAAUAUUGCACAAUGGGCGAAAGCCUGAUGCAGCGACGCCGCGUGAGGGAUGACGGCCUUCGGGUUGUAAACCUCUUUCAGUAGGGAAGAAGCGAAAGUGACGGUACCUGCAGAAGAAGCACCGGCUAACUACGUG
rnacentral:rRNA from 1 species